rnacentral:tRNA from 1 species
GGAGGAAUGGCAGAGUGGUUGAAUGCACCGGUCUUGAAAACCGGCAUACGUGAGAGCGUAUCUGGGGUUCGAAUCCCUAUUCCUCCGCCA